rnacentral:tRNA from 1 species
UCCUAUGUAGUAUAGUGGUUAGUAUAUUCCGCUUUCAUCUUCUCAUGGGAUCCGGAAAGUCCCGAGUUCGAACCUCGGCGUAGGAA